AGAGUUUGAUUAUGGCUCAGGACGAACGCUGGCGGCGUGCUUAACACAUGCAAGUCUACGAGAAAAGGGUAGCAAUAUCCUGAGUAAAGUGGCGCACGGGUGAGUAACACGUAGGCAAUCUGCCUUUAGGACGGGGACAACCUCGAGAAAUCGAGGCUAAUACCCGAUAAUGCAGCGGCACCGCAUGGUGACAGUUGUUAAAGGCCCGCAAGGGCGCCUAUUGAUGAGCCUGCGUCCCAUUAGGUAGUUGGUGAGGUAACGGCCCACCAAGCCUUCGAUGGGUAGCUGGUCUGAGAGGAUGAUCAGCCACACUGGAACUGAGACGCGGUCCAGACACCUACGGGUGGCAGCAGUCGAGAAUUUUUCACAAUGGGCGAAAGCCUGACGCAGCAACGCCGCGUGGGGGAUGAAGGUUCUCGGAUUGUAAACCCCUUUCGACCGGAACGAAUCCCCUCCUGGUAAAUAAUCAGGAGGAUCGACGGUACCGGGAGAAGAAGCCACGGCUAACUCUGUGCCAGCAGCCGCGGUAAGACAGAGGUGGCGAGCGUUGUUCGGAUUUAUUGGGCGUAAAGCGUACGCAGGCGGUUUGGUAAGUCAGAGGUGAAAGCCCACAGCUUAACUGUGGCACUGCCUUUGAUACUGCCU
rnacentral:rRNA from 1 species